AGCGUAGGCGGUCGAUUAAGUUGGAUGUGAAAUACCCGGGCUUAACUUGGGGGGUGCAUCCAAUACUGGUGGACUAGAGUACAGGAGAGGAAAGCGGAAUUCCUGGUGUAGCGGUGAAAUGCAUAGAUAUCAGGAGGAACAUCGGUGGCGAAGGCGGCUUUCUGGACUGACACUGACGCUGAGGCUCGAAAGCGUGGGGAGCAAACA
rnacentral:rRNA from 1 species